rnacentral:rRNA from 1 species
UACGGGGGGUGCGAGCGUUGUCCGGAAUCACUGGGCGUAAAGAGCUCGUAGGCGGUCUGUCGCGUCGGAUGUGAAAGCCCGGGGCUUAACCCCGGGUCUGCAUUCGAUACGGGCAGACUAGAGUGUGGUAGGGGAGAUCGGAAUUCCUGGUGUAGCGGCGAAAUGCGCAGAUAUCAGGAGGAACACCGGUGGCGAAGGCGGAUCUCUGGGCCGAUACUGACGCUGAGGAGCGAAAGCGUGGGGAGCGAACAGG